rnacentral:rRNA from 1 species
UUGUCUCAAAGAUUAAGCCAUGCAUGUCUCAGUACAAGCCACAUUAAGGUGAAACCGCGAAAGGCUCAUUAAAUCAGUUAUGGUUCCUUAGAUCGUACCCACAUUUACUUGGAUAACUGUGGUAAUUCUAGAGCUAAUACAUGCAAACAGAGUUCCGACCGGAGACGGGAGGAAUGCUUUUAUUAGAUCAAAACCAAUCGGUGGCGGGCGCGCCCGCGCGUCCGUUCGCCGCUCAAUUUGGUGACUCUGAAUAACUUUCGGCUGAUCGCACGGUCUCGCACCGGCGACGCAUCUUUCAAAUGUCUGCCUUAUCAACUGUCGAUGGUAGGUUCUGCGCCUACCAUGGUCGUAACGGGUAACGGGGAAUCAGGGUUCGAUUCCGGAGAGGGAGCCUGAGAAACGGCUACCACAUCCAAGGAAGGCAGCAGGCGCGCAAAUUACCCACUCCCGGCACGGGGAGGUAGUGACGAAAAAUAACGAUACGGGACUCAUCCGAGGCCCCGUAAUCGGAAUGAGUACACUUUAAAUCCUUUAACGAGGAUCAAUUGGAGGGCAAGUCUGGUGCCAGCAGCCGCGGUAAUUCCAGCUCCAAUAGCGUA